AGCAGCCGCGGUAAUUCCAGCUCCAAUAGCGUAUAUUAAAAUUGUUGCAAUUAAAAAGCUCGUAGUUGAAUUUCGGGGUCAGUAGGUUGGUCAUGCCUCCGGUAUGUACUGGUCUCACUGAUUCCUCCUUCCUGAUGAGCCGUAAUGCCAUUAAUUUGGUGUUGCGGGGAAUCUGGACUGUUACUUUGAAAAAAUUAGAGUGUUUAAAGCAAGCUAACGCUUGAAUACAUUAGCAUGGAAUAAUGGAAUAGGACGUUCGAUCCUAUUUUGUUGGUUUCUAGGAUUGACGUAAUGAUUAAUAGGGAUAGUUGGGGGCAUUAGUAUUCAAUUGUCAGAGGUGAAAUUCUUGGAUUUAUUGAAGACUAACUACUGCGAAAGCAUUUGCCAAGGAUGUUUUCAUUAAUCAAGAACGAAAGUUAGGGGAUCGAAGACGAUCAGAUACCGUCGUAGUCUUAACCAUAAACUAUGCCGACUAGGGAUCGGAUGAUGUUAAUUUUUAAUGACUCAUUCGGCGCCUUAC
rnacentral:rRNA from 1 species